rnacentral:RNase_P_RNA from 1 species
CGUGUGGACUGGGUGGCCGCCGCCCCGACCAUUCGGGGGGGAGGAAAGUCCGGGCUCCACCGGACAGGGUGCUGGGUAACCCCCAGGCUCCGGCAGGGAAAUCCUAACCGGGGACGGAAAGUGGCACAGAAACAUACCGUCCUUCCAGUAUUGGAAGGAUAAGGGUGAAAUCGGACGGUAAGAGCGUCCGGCCGUUUGCGGUGACGCAGCGGCGGCUAAACCCCACCUGGAGCAAGGCCAAAUAGGGGGACUAUGGGCGUUCGGCCCGUCCCCGGGUUGGCUGCUAGACCCCGGCGGUAACGCCGUUUCGUGUUAACACGGGAACCCAGGGGCGCAAGCCUUUUGGGUUGGGCUAGAUAGAUGGCUACCAUCCUUCCUUUGUGGGAAGGACACAGAACCCGGCUUAUAGGUUUACACGGCUC